ACCCAGCUGGCUCAGUCAGUAGAGUGUGUGACUCUUAAUGUCUGGGUUAUGAGUUCAAGCCCCAUGUUGGGCA
rnacentral:tRNA from 1 species